CGUGCAGGUGGUUUGGUAAGUUGGGUAUGAAAUCUCCUGGCUUAACUGGGAGAGGUUGCUCAAAACUACCAGACUAGAGGACGAUAGAGGAAGGUGGAAUUCCCGGUGUAGUAGUGAAAUGCGUAGAUAUCGGGAGGAACACCAGUGGCGAAGGCGGCCUUCUGGGUCGUUCCUGACACUAAGACGCGAAAGCAUGGGUAGCAAACG
rnacentral:rRNA from 1 species